GAAACUAGACUUGUUGAGAAAGCUAUAUAAUUAAUACAUAGGGAAUCACAAAACAGUGGAUGGAGGAGAGAGAAGGUUCUUGGAAGAAGCAAUCCUUGCAUGCAGGAGAGAGAAGCUUUCCAUGCAAUUUAGUUUCUGAUUUUCGUCACUUUUCUUGGACAACAAAGAAACCACUUGAUUUUUAUUUUUCUUGGGUUUAUAAUUC
rnacentral:lncRNA from 1 species